GGAGGGUGCAAGCGUUAUCCGGAUUUACUGGGUUUAAAGGGUGUGUAGGCGGACUUUUAAGUCAGCGGUGAAAUCUCCGGGCUCAACCCGGAAACUGCCAUUGAUACUAUUAGUCUUGAAUCUUGUUGAGGUAGGCGGAACGGGUCAUGUAGCGGUGAAAUGCAUAGAUAUGACCCGGAACACCGAUUGCGAAGGCAGCCUACUAAGCAAGUAUUGACGCUGAGGCACGAAAGCGUGGGGAUCAAACAGGAUUAGAUACCCUGGUAGUCCACGCCCUAAACGAUGAUUACUCGACGUUGGCGAUACACUGAUCAGCGUCCAAGCGAAAGCAUUAAGUAAUCCACCUGGGAAGUACGUUCGCAAGAAUG
rnacentral:rRNA from 1 species